rnacentral:rRNA from 1 species
UACGAAGGGGGCUAGCGUUGCUCGGAAUGACUGGGCGUAAAGCGCGUGUAGGCGGAUGGGCAAGUCUGCUGUGAAAGCUCCUGGCUUAACCGGGAGUGGUCGGUGGAAACUGCCUGUCUGGAGGACGGUAGAGGCUGGUGGAAUUCCCGGUGUAGUGGUGAAAUGCGUAGAGAUCGGGAGGAACACCUGUGGCGAAGGCGGCCCAGC